UACGUAGGGUGCAAGCGUUGCCCGGAUUUAUUGGGCGUAAAGGGCGCGUAGGCGGCUCUGCACGUCCGUUGUGAAAUCGCCCGGCUCAACUGGGCGGGGUCAGCGGAUACGGCAGAGCUUGAGCAAGCUAGGGGGCGUGGAAUUCCGGGUGGAGCGGUGAAAUGCGUAGAGAUCCGGAGGAACACCGACGGCGUAGGCAGCGCCCUGGACGACACCUGACGCUGAGGCACGAAAGCUGGGGGAGCGAAACAGG
rnacentral:rRNA from 1 species